UUGUGCAACAUGGUUAUGGGUACUACAGUGGAUGUGAGUGUGUAGACCUUGUACAAUAGAGCUUAUAGGCUAAUGAGAAGACAGGAAGAAACAACAGGAACACAUAUAGCUGGAAUGCAGAUGGGAUCUGUGCUACUUACGCUAGCCAUGGGAUGAUUAGAACAAGAUAAGAGACAUGAGGAAGACUUCUUCAAGGAGGUGCUCAAGCCAUGUUUUGGAAAAGAGAACUCAAGGUCUGGCAGGGAGAAAGGAGCAAGGGCAAGUAGAGCUGCAGCUGUCUGGCGCCACUGUAAUGCUGUCUCCUCCUCUGAGAAGACUGAAGAAACCUAAUCCUAGGUGCUGCCACUGGGACAAACAAGAAGCACCAGACACAGUGCUGUUUUAGGGUGGGGCAGAAUUAUGCUGAGGGAAAAGUUAUUAUCACUCUUUAAGGCCAAGGAAACCACAAUUUUUAAAGAAGCUUCUAGAAAUUCUACCCAGUAGAAAAUAAAGAUAAACUUCUGUAAGGAAUUUCAUUCUUUUCAGAAUUCGCAAUCUGAAAUGUAGAAGCCCAUUCCUUCAUGGUUCUCAUAGAUAUUUAGUGUGACUGAGGGGUCAGUGGACUCAUAGCACUCAGGCCAGGCUUCUCCUGAGUCCCUUUCUUUGGCACAGAGGGAGUGAUUCACAGAUCCUCUACCCCCAAAGGCAUUGUUUCCUCAUCUCAACAAGAAUCCAGCACCCGUCAUUUUAUCAGCACACGUCACUAGCUUCUCAAGUGAGACUACUCUGAAGUGAUCUGUGUUUGAAGAAUGCCUUUCCCUUUCCCUUACGUAACUAAGAGGAUGAAAAAGGACACUCACUCCCUAUAUGAAAGCUGUGUAUUGUAAGCAGUCAUCUUGCCUGGCUGAGAACUCUAGGAUCUUUUUCUCUGCUCUCCUUUAGGCUGACACUCAUAGCCAGACCUUCUGUUUAUUAGCCCCCUGAAUCUAUUUGAAAAUAUUUUUGCUUUCAUUAUAAUAUAAGUCACAUUCUUCUUGCAUCUGCCGCUGCAUUUUCCAAAAGGGUUAUGUCAAGGGAAAUUCAACACUCACUUUUCUCAUUAUUUGCUUACCAGCUUGCUCACUCAUCAAAAUACCAGAGUUAUUUGAUACUUCAGAAGAUUAUUUCCCCCUUUAGAUGAUGUGUCAAGGGAAGGGGAGCUGGCCCCAGUAUCAGGUGACAGAAUUUUCUUCGCAUUUCUACUGUUGACUCAAUAAAUGCCCUUGGGCAAGUCAUGGA
rnacentral:lncRNA from 1 species